GCCCGGGUGGUGAAAUGGUAGACACAGCGGACUUAAAAUCCGCCGACCUCGCGGUCGUGCCGGUUCGAGUCCGGCUCCGGGCACCA
rnacentral:tRNA from 2 species